rnacentral:rRNA from 1 species
AGUCACUGACAUUAGAUACCCCGGUAGUCCAGGGUGUAAACGCUGCAGACUUGGUGUUGGAAGUCCUUUGGGGGCAUUCAGUGCCGGAGAGAAGUUGUUAAGUCUGCUACUUGGGAGUACGUCCGCAAGGAUGAAACUUAAAGGAAUUGGCGGGGAGCACCACAACGGGUGGAGCCUGCGGUUUAAUUGGACUCAACGCCGGAAAUCUCACCGGAUAGGACAGACAUAUGAUAGUCGGGCUGAAGACUCUACUUGAUGAUCUG